CCUACGGGUGGCAGCAGUGAGGAAUAUUGGUCAAUGGACGAGAGUCUGAACCAGCCAAGUAGCGUGAAGGAUGACUGCCCUAUGGGUUGUAAACUUCUUUUAUAAAGGAAUAAAACGAGGCACGUGUGCCUUUUUGCAUUUACUUUAUGAAUAAGGAUCGGCUAACUCCGUGCCAUCAGCCGCGGUAAUACGGAGGAUCCGAGCGUUAUCCGGAUUUAUUUGGUUUAAAGGGAGCGUAGAUGGGUUGUUAAGUCAGUUGUGAAAGUUUGGGGCUCAACCGUAAAAUUGCAAUUGAUACUGGCAGUCUUGAGUACAGUUGAGGUAGGCGGAAUUCGUGGUGUAGCGGUGAAAUGCUUAGAUAUCACGAAGAACCUCGAUUGCGAAGGCAGCUUACUAAACUGUGACUGACAUUGAUGCUCGAAAGUGUGGGUAUCAAACAGGAUUAGAUACCCGAGUAGUC
rnacentral:rRNA from 1 species